rnacentral:lncRNA from 1 species
GGCAGGAUGUAUAUUUUAUUCUCUGGAAUAACCAGGAUAAUUCUUACCCUUUAGACUUUGAAGCGAUUUCCUCUUUUUGCUUUGUCUGCCAGGAGGCUCAUAGUUAAAUCCAUGGUCUGAUCCAUGGGAUCAUGUAGGAUAACUAGAAAUGAAUUGGGCCAGGUGCGGUGGCUCAUGCCUGUAAUCCCAGCACUUUGGGAGGCAGGAAGAUCGCUUGAGUCCAGGAGUUCAACACCAUCCGUGGCAAUACAGGGAGACCCCAUCUCUACAAAAACUAAGAACUUAACUGGGUGUGGUGGUGUGCCUCUGUGGUCCCAGAUACUCGGGAGGCUGAGGUGGAAGGAUCACUUGAGUCUGCAGGGUCAAGGCUGCAGUGAGCCAUGAUUGCGCCACUGCACUCAGCUGGGUUACAAAGUGAGACCUUGUC